GGGGCUUGAAUUGCUUUUCAGCAAAAAAGAAGUUUCAUUUUGAAAGGAAAAUGGAGAAAAAUGGCGUAAUGCUCUCCGGCGAUCGGCCGACGGUGAUGGUGACUAACGACGAUGGAAUCGAUGCCCCAGGGUUGCGUGCUCUCGUCCAUGUCCUCCUCUCCUUUAACCGCUUUAAUAUCCUUGUCUGUGCCCCUGACUCCGAAAAGUCGGCUGUUAGUCAUAGCAUUACUUGGCGAAGUGCUGUUUCAGUUAAGCCGGUGGAAAUCAGUGGAGCUACUUCAUUUGCAGUUUCUGGAACUCCCGCUGACUGUACAUCUUUGGGAAUUUCAAAAGCGCUCUUCCCUUCAAUACCUGAUCUGGUGAUUAGUGGCAUCAAUAUGGGUAGUAACUGUGGUUAUCAUGUGUUAUAUUCAGGGACGGUAGCUGGUGCUCGGGAAGCUUUUUUCAAUGGUGUACCAUCUGUAUCUAUAUCAUAUGACUGGGCUGGAGGGAGGAGUAAUGUCAAUGACUUCAUACUGGCUGCAGAGGCUUGCUUACCAAUAAUCAGCUCAAUAAUGGUUGAAAUCAAGAAAAAAACUUAUCCUCAAAACUGUUUUCUGAAUAUAGAUGUGCCAACAAAUGUUGUCUGUCAUAAGGGUUAUCGGCAAACUAAGCAGGGUAAGAGUAUUGUGAAAAUGGGAUGGAAGCAAGUUACUUCUGAUGCUCAAGGAGGAAAGAUGUUAUCAACGAUGACUAUGGAGAUGAAUUCAUCAUCAAAUUUUGAGUCCAAUGCUUCAAGUGCACCACACGACCAUCUUCUGUUCAAGAGACAACUUAGGGGAUCACACGUGGAAGACGGAGAUACAGAUUACUGUUCCCUUCAAGAAGGAUAUAUAACUAUUACUCCUCUAGGUGCCUUGUCUCAUGCAGAGUUAGACGCUGAAGCAUACUUUAAAGAAUGGCUUCCAGGUGUUACUGAACGGUACUUUUCUUCUGCAUUAUAAUGAUGCUCCAGAGAUAGAUGUUGAUGAGGAUGGCGUUAUUAUCCCUGUAUGGUAAUAGUCAAUGAUCUUGCAUUUUGAUGUACUUUCAUGAGACGAAUCCAGAGCUUCUUCAGUGGAGAGAACAGGGACUGCAGCCACCUCAUUUGGAGAAUAGAGUGUGGCUCAUGGUAGGUGAAAGGAUGGAGGGAAAUAAGAGAAAAAAAACUGCUAGUUUGCUUAGACAAGGGUGAAGUUUGGGUGAAGUUAAGGUCACAAUUUAAUAAAUAUUUUACAUUCCCUAGCAGACUAAACAUGCAUGUCAAGUUUUGUGCUUGGUAAAAUGUCUCUUUGUAGCUUUUCUUCUUGUAGUUAAAGUGAUUGCUCUACCAAUCACCUGUUUUUUUUACACUUAAAUUCAUGUCAAUUAUCCUUCUUCACACUUGUCCCUUUCAUUAUUGUUAGGGUUCUGGAAUACUGUUUUUAGGGAUUCUUAAGAUUUAAACAUUUCCUUUUC